rnacentral:rRNA from 1 species
UACGUAGGUGGCAAGCGUUAUCCGGAUUUAUUGGGCGUAAAGGGAACGCAGGCGGUCUUUUAAGUCUGAUGUGAAAGCCUUCGGCUUAACCGGAGUAGUGCAUUGGAAACUGGGAGACUUGAGUGCAGAAGAGGAGAGUGGAACUCCAUGUGUAGAGGUGAAAUGCGUAGAUAUAUGGAAGAACACCAGUGGCGAAAGCGGCUCUCUGGUCUGUAACUGACGCUGAGGUUCGAAAGCGUGGGUAGCAAACAGG